rnacentral:lncRNA from 1 species
CACUUGGCUCUCAGGCUGGAGUUUGCUGACCCCUCUAGCAGAAUGCCUUCCUUCAAAGCUUUCAUCUCCUGCUAUGAAGUCUCUCAGUGUCACACCUAAGUUUCCUUCAGUUAGAUGCUAACCUUCUUGGAAUAUAUUCUUUUGAUGGUACAGAGAUGCCCUGGGUUGUAAAGCAAAAAAUCACACCUCUGACUUAGCUUGUGUUUUUGUCACACGUUUCUGAUCCAAAACAUAAAAUGAUAAAAUUCAGAGGUUGGAAGAACAACUUCAUUUCUAUUUUAGAAAACACAAUCAUUUGAACAUGUUUACUGAAAGCACUGAUAUGUUUUAUAAAUUCAGUUUUUCCUUUCUUUUCUUGUAAAACUUUCUCAUUGCUUUUACACCUUUACUAAGAAAAAAUUGCCUUGAUAUUGAAGAGGGAGACUUCCCUUACUGUUAUCCUGUAAAAGCCAUAUUUCCCACACUGCAUUAUAUACUCUCUUUUAUUAUUAUUAUUAUUUUUUGGAGAUGGAGUCGACUCGCUCAGUCACCCAGGCUGGAGUGCAAUGGCACGAUCUCGGCUCACUGAAACCUCCGACUCCCGGGUUCAAGCGAUUCUCCCGCCUCAGCCUCCCGAGUAGCUGGGAUUACAGGCACCCACCAUCAUGCCUGGCUAAUUUGUAUUUUUGUAGAGACAGGGUUUCAUCUUGUUGGCCAGGCUGGUCUUGAACUCCUGACCUCAGGUGAUCUGCCUGCCUCAGCCUCCCAAAGUGCUGGGAUUACAGGCGUGAGCCACCGCGCCGGGCCUAUAUACUCCUUUUUUAAAAAAAUAAUUUGUACUGCUUAAGUACUGCAGAUUUUUUUCUUAAUUGACUGCCACCAAGGGUUAUUGAAUAUCAAGUAUUCUUCUAAGGGCUCAAGGUGCUGCAUUAUCUCAUGUAGUUAUCCUUGUGUCACGUGUCAGCUUUGUGUGGUAGGUACUUAUAUUUAUUUUAGUUUAUAAAAAAAAUGACUCAGAAAGGUACAUAACCUGCCUAAGAUCACUCAGCUAGCAAGUGCAGGAUGGAAUUUUUAUUUUUAUUUUUUUGAGAUGGAGUUUUGCUAUGUCAUCCAUGCUGGAGUGCAGUGGCACGAUCUCAGCUCACUGCAACCUCCGCCUCCAGGGUUCAAGUAAUUCUCCUGCCUCAGACUCCCCAGUAGCUAGGAUUACUGGUGCCCACCACCACACCUGGCUAAUUUUUGUAUAUUUAGUAGAAACGGGUUUUCACCAUGUUGGCCAGGCUGGUCUCGAAUUCCUGACCUCAAGUGAUCUGCCCACCUCGGCCUCCCAAAGUGCUAGGAUUAACAGGCAUAAGCCACCCCCCGCGCUUGGCCUAGGAUGGAAAUUCAAACCUAGAUUUGUGAAUCUUCAAAGAUCACCAAUGCUCUUGAGCAGUGCUAGCCUGCAUCUCUGUGAUUUGCCAUUCUGAGGAAGUGCAAUUUCUGGUAUUCAAUAAGAACCUUGUGAAAUGUUAUUUUGAUGUAAUUGCAAAGGCUUGUCUCGACAAUAUCCAUUUCCCAUCCAAAAACCAAUUACAAAUUGGUUGGCCAGCAUGAUUAAAGGCUCAGAAUGAAUUAAGCCCCAAAACCUAAUUAUGUUCAAAAAACGCUGCAGUAGACAGAGGCAUGUCUUUUUAUCUACCUACUUUCUGCUGUAUAGGUUAUUUUUUUGCAUAGUCAAAUCAUGUUUGUUUUCUUCAUAAUUUCUGCUUUUGGUGUCUUUUAUAGAAAGGACUUCCCCAAUCCAAAAUUAUUAAAGUGAUCAUCUGUUUUCCUUUCAGUAUUUCCCUUGAAGUAAACCAAUCUCCAAGCUGUUUGUAAGAUUGUUUGGCAAUUUAUUUAGAAGAAAUCUAUGUCAGAGGAUCCAAAUUUAAUAUGCUUUUGCUUUGAUUUCAGUACCAAAAAGUUAGAUAAUUUUGCUAUGACAUUAUCUUCUCCCUUACAAGUUUUGAUAUCUGAAUUUAUAAUGUUCAAACUUAAGCCCACUUUUCAACAGAUUCAGUUACCUUUGAAACUGUGUAUCAUGUUUAUUAAUUGAAGAGAAGCCCAUGAGCUGUAGAAGAAAGCUCCUAUUACUAGGGAUUAGUUAGGUAUUACUAUCUAAAUAACUAGCUCACCAUCAUAAAUGAUUUCUUAAAUGGUGUCUUAUUAAUUCCCCAUGAGAGAGAUAAUUUAAUUCAGAAAUUGCCUGUUGCAUAGCCUAUCUGCGCACUUGUGACCCACAAAUGGAUGAUCUAUAUGUUGCUUUGUGGAACAACUGGAUAAAAUUUCAAUCUUCUAAAAGACUCACUAAAUAAAUUUUUUAUCUGGUCAUAUAAUUGAGAGUUAUAGUCCACCAAAUGAGCUCUAUUGGUUUACAGCUGGGAAUUGGCCAUAAAAACUUCAUAAUAUCUUUUAAAAAAAUAUUUUCUAUCUGAUUCCACAGAGAUAUUUUGGUCUGCAGCCUUUAUUUUCUGCUCCUUUCUUUUCUGCUUUUCUACUGAGUAGCUUGUGAAUUUACUUUCACUUACAUUUCUUGCUAUGAGUUUUCUGAUUAGAAAUGUAAAGCCAUAAGAUUUUAAAUUUAAGUGGUUAGAAAAAGCAGUGUACAAAAUUGACAGAGGUUAUAAAUGUUGUGAACAAGAAGAGAAGUAUAUAUUCACAGAAAGAAACCUGGACAGAUCAUAAUGUUUGCAGUGAUUAUUCCUGAGUGGUGGGAGCAUGGAUGAUUUUCAGUUUCUUUGUAUUUUGGUUAUUUUCAAAUGUUCAGCAAUGAGCUCAAUUACUUUUACAUAAUUACAGAAUAUUUGGAGUCAAACAUUCACCUAUUUCCCUUUUACUAAAACUUAUUGGAAUUAACAUCAUUUGAUAUAGUGACUAUUUCUGAGUUAAGAAAACAUAAUUAAGACCGCAAAAUUACAAUAAUUAUUAAGCCACUGGCUUAUUCCAUAGCACUGUAUAAACACAGCAUAGAAUAAGAAGAUGAAGAUCCCAGAAUGUGGAAACAAAAAGCUGACAAGUGAUUGAGGAAUGGUGAGAAGACACAGGUUCUGAGGACUGCUGGACAGCCUUUCCUGUUUUUAAAGAAAAGCUCUCUUAUCAUGAGAGAAGAGUCAUGAAAACCAAAAGGUUUCUGCAUUUAAUUCGUUAUUUAGAGGGCUGAAUUUAUGCUUUGACUUACUCUUUGAUUACAAGCACUGGUGGUUAUAUUUUAUCUAUUUUGUGGAAAUGAGUUAGCACAUGUAGAAAACUGCCCUGAAAGGGGCUGAAAUGAAGCCAUUAAGACCGAAGUGUACUUUUUAAAACUCCAAACGUCAUGAUUUAUUUCUUGAUCUUGGUGAUACUUAUAUGGGUGUGUUCACUUUGUAAACAUUCAUCAAACUCUAUACUUACCACUUGUGUACUUUUCUGUAUGUGUGUUAUACUUCAAUUAAAAAGUUUACUUGAAAGAAAAAA